UUUCGCUUAAGUCUCAUGCUCGUCCCUUCGGGGACAUCCGAUAAAAUUGGAACGAUACAGAGAAGAUUAGCAUGGCCCCUGCGCAAGGAUGACACGCAUAAAUCGAGAAAUGGUCCAAAUUUUUUUUGCCCUUUUUCCACCAAAUUUCAAAUGUUUUUUUUUGCGCUCUCCACGGUGUUUCCCACAAUCUCUAGGGCCAAAGGCGUAGUUCAAUUCUGUUGCAGAGGUUUGAGAAGCUAUGAGCAUUUUGCAUUUGAAGUCUUCGAUGGUUCGGUGACUGAUUUUUUAGUAUGGGAUCUUGUGUUUCCAAUUUAAUCCAUGUAAAAAAGCUCACCUACUAGCUGUUUGAUAAAAUGACUCUGUUACUAUGACCUUAUAAAAUUGUUAAGUACGCACUUCAAAUGAUUCUCUGAUAAUCCCUUACACUUGUGAAGAGCUGCUCCACUUUUUUUAUUUAGUCGAGUCAAUGUUCAACAUAGGAUGAAUAAACCCAAGAUAUGUUUCUUUUUGUUGAGUUAGGUGAGUAUUAGUUUAGAAGUUUCAAUCUUGGUUGUUUGACAAAUUCUUAAAUCAUAGAUGGAAGGGUUUUAGUCAGAGCAAUGCUUAGAUAAGCAAGGAGGUUGGAGGGCAGAUUAGUAUACUAUUUUUGAUGGGUCGGUGACGAUUACCAAUUUGGAGUUGCUGAAUGGGAGUUUGAUUGUGCAGAAGUGGAGAUUUAGGAGCUGGUUUGAUGGGUUGAUUAACGGUGAGGCUUACACUCGAAGAGCCUGAACCUGGCUCACUGUUGUCAAGCUAACACAUUCGGAUAUUCCCGUGGAAGACAGAUAUUGGAAUGCAACUGUGGUGGAGAAUACACAGAGAGGUUGGCGGGAUCUAUUUUUCCAGAGGAUACGGGCAGUUUUAAAUCUUAACUUCUCACUUUUCAUCACUGCGAGAAAAAAGGGUUUGUUUCUCAAUGCCCUGCAUAAGAGCUGUGGUUUUCACAUCUGUGCUGCAUUGGAGUUUCUUCUGUCAUCUAAAUAGGUGCUACUGCAUUGGAGUACGUUCUUUACUUGUUUCAUUGUUAGCAAAUGGGGGAGGAAUACAUUAUGUUGCUAGCAAGUUGAGAAUUAUUUUCUUUCUUAAAGACCUCGGAAGAUCAGUGUUAGAACAUUCUAUUGAAAACAUCAAGGCCUUUUAGUGUUAGUGAUUGAUUAAAAGUUAUUUUUCAGGUUGAUUGCUCUGUCAGGCUUCUAGGAUCUUGAUGAGUAAGGGAAAGUUUAGUUUUUGGUGUUGGUUUUGGAGAGGGGGCUUGCAUUGUAUAAGAUGCUAUCUGAUGUCCUGGGCUAUUAUUUUGUCCUAGUUCCUGAGCGCUUUGUUGUAAGCUUUUAGCUGUAGUCUUCACCUUUUUCUCCUCUCAUCUAUGGAGCUUGCAUUUUCUGCCAGGUACCAGGAUGAAGGUUUUAGGUUGUUUUGUAGAACAGUGCUGGUUAUGUAUGGAAAAGAGUGUCAUGAAUGUAGGUGAAGAUUCAAUUAAUGAAAUUUAGGGUUACAAACUUA